rnacentral:ncRNA from 1 species
AUAUUGGGGAGCUUGUGAGACAGGCUGAGAGGACGGUAUAACCUUCGACCCGUAUAACCUGAUUUGGAUAAUACCAACGUAGGGACAGAUUGAA